GUGGGGAAUUUUGGACAAUGGGCGCAAGCCUGAUCCAGCAAUGCCGCGUGCAGGAAGAAGGCCUUCGGGUUGUAAACUGCUUUUGUACGGAACGAAACGGUCCGGGUUAAUACCCUGGGCUAAUGACGGUACCGUAAGAAUAAGCACCGGCUAACUACGUGCCAGCAGCCGCGGUAAUACGUAGGGUGCAAGCGUUAAUCGGAAUUGCUGGGCGUAAAGCGUGCGCAGGCGGUGCUGUAAGACAGGCGUGAAAUGCCCGGGCUUAACCUGGGAAUGGCGCUUGUGACUGCAGUGCUGGAGUGUGGCAGAGGGGGAUGGAAUUCGGCGUGUAGCAGUGAAAUGCGUAGAUAUGCGGAGGAACACCGAUGGCGAAGGCAAUCCCCUGGGCCUGCACUGACGCUCAUGCACGAAAGCGUGGGGAGCAAACAGGAUUAGAUACCCGGGUAGUCC
rnacentral:rRNA from 1 species